UGGCGACCGGCGCACGGGUGAGUAACGCGUAUCCAACCUGCCUUACACUCUUGGACAGCCUUCUGAAAGGGAGAUUAAUACAAGACGUUAUCAUGAGUAAGCAUUUUCACAUGAUUAAAGGUUUACCGGUGUAAGAUGGGGAUGCGUUCCAUUAGAUAGUAGGCGGGGUAACGGCCCACCUAGUCUUCGAUGGAUAGGGGUUCUGAGAGGAAGGUCCCCCACAUUGGAACUGAGACACGGUCCAA
rnacentral:rRNA from 1 species